rnacentral:lncRNA from 1 species
CGGGGCCGCAGGAGACGGGUCGGGUCCGGACGGGCCGAGAUGCCCUAUAAACUGAAAAAGGAGAAGGAGCCCCCCAAGGUUGCCAAAUGCACAGCCAAGCCUAGCAGCUCGGGCAAGGAUGGUGGAGGCGAGAACACUGAGGAGGUAAUGAAUGUAGGCGUAGCCUUAGAUGUGGUGCAGGUGCCACCCGCAACUCCAUGAUGGCUUGUUGGGUAGGGGAUCCCAAGGGGUGAGGCAGAAGGGAAGGCUUCCAUAUCCUGGGAGGGACCUGGACAGCCCAUCCAGACUGCCCUCAGGCAGGAUUUACCUUUGGUUGGUAUAGACCAAAUACAUU